GCUCAAAUUUGAAAUCUGGCCCUCGGGUCCGAGUUGUAAUUUGUAGAGGAUGCUUUUGGUGCGGUGCCUUCCGAGUUCCCUGGAACGGGACGCCAUAGAGGGUGAGAGCCCCGUCUGGUUGGACGCCAAUCCUCUGUAAAGCUCCUUCGACGAGUCGAGUAGUUUGGGAAUGCUGCUCUAAAUGGGAGGUAUAUGUCUUCUAAAGCUAAAUAUUGGCCAGAGACCGAUAGCGCACAAGUAGAGUGAUCGAAAGAUGAAAAGCACUUUGAAAAGAGAGUUAAAAAGUACGUGAAAUUGUUGAAAGGGAAGCGCUCAUGACCAGACUUGGGCUUGGUAGAUCAACCUGGGUUCUCCCUGGUGCACUCUUCCUCGUUCAGGCCAGCAUCAGUUCGCUGCGGGGGAUAAAGGUUUCGGGAAUGUGGCUCCCUCGGGAGUGUUAUAGCCCGUUGCGUAAUACCCUGCGGUGGACUGAGGUUCGCGUUCUGCAAGGAUGCUGGCGUAAUGGUCAUCAGUGACCCGUCUUGAAACACGGACCAAGGAGUCGUCUUCGUAUGCGAGUGUUCGGGUGUUAAACCCCUACGCGUAAUGAAAGUGAACGCAGGUGAGAGCUUCGGCGCAUCAUCGACCGAUCCUGAUGUUCUCGGAUGGAUUUGAGUAAGAGCAUACGGGGCCGGACCCGAAAGAAGGUGAACUAUGCCUGUAUAGGGUGAAGCCAGAGGAAACUCUGGUGGAGGCUCGCAGCGGUUCUGACGUGCAAAUCGAUCGUCAAAUAUGGGCAUGGGGGCGAAAGACUAAUCGAACCUUC
rnacentral:rRNA from 1 species